UGGGGAAUUUUGGACAAUGGGCGCAAGCCUGAUCCAGCCAUGCCGCGUGCGGGAAGAAGGCCUUCGGGUUGUAAACCGCUUUUGUCAGGGAAGGAAUCUUCUGAGUUAAUACCUCGGGAGGAUGACGGUACCUGAAGAAUAAGCACCGGCUAACUACGUGCCGAGCAGCCGCGGUAAUACGUAGGGUGCAAGCGUUAAUCGGAAUUACUGGGCGUAAAGCGUGCGCAGGCGGUUUUGUAAGACAGAGGUGAAAUCCCCGGGCUCAACCUGGGAACUGCCUUCGUGACUGCAAGGCUUGAGUGCGGCAGAGGGGGGAUGGAAUUCCGCGUGUAGCAGUGAAAAUGCGUAGAUAUGCGGAGGAACACCGAUGGCGAAGGCAAUCCCCCUGGGCCUGCACUGACGCUCAUGCACGAAAGCGUGGGGGAGCAAACAGGAUUAGAUACCCUGGUAGUCCNCGCCCCUAAAACCGAUGUCAACUGGUUGUUGGGAAGGUUCCUUCUCAGUAACGUAGCUAACGCGUGAA
rnacentral:rRNA from 1 species